AACGAACGCUGGCGGCAUGCCUAACACAUGCAAGUCGAACGAGACCUUCGGGUCUAGUGGCGCACGGGUGCGUAACGCGUGGGAAUCUACCCUUGGGUUCGGAAUAACAGUUAGAAAUGACUGCUAAUACCGGAUGAUGACGUAAGUCCAAAGAUUUGUCGCCCAAGGAUGAGACCGCGUAAGAUUAGCUUGUUGGUGGGGUAAUGGCCUACCAAGGCGACGAUCUUUAGCUGGUCUGAGAGGAUGAUCAGCCACACUGGGACUGAGACACGGCCCAGACUCCUACGGGAGGCAGCAGUGGGGAAUAUUGGACAAUGGGCGAAAGCCUGAUCCAGCAAUGCCGCGUGAGUGAUGAAGGCCUUAGGGUUGUAAAGCUCUUUUACCAGGGAUGAUAAUGACAGUACCUGGAGAAUAAGCUCCGGCUAACUCCGUGCCAGCAGCCGCAGUAA
rnacentral:rRNA from 1 species